rnacentral:rRNA from 1 species
AAGCCAUGCAUGUCUCAGUGCAAGCCGUCCAGUACGGUGAAACCGCGAAAGGCUCAUUAAAUCAGUUAUGGUUCCUUAGAUCGUACCCACGUUACUUGGAUAACUGUGGUAAUUCUAGAGCUAAUACAUGCCGACAGAGUUCCGACCAACUGCGCAGAUCGCGGUUCGGAAGGAACGCUUUUAUUAGAUCAAAACCGGCCAGACGGUGGUUUCUCUCCAUCGUAUGCGGCCCGCGCAAAGACUUGGUGACUCUGAAUAACUUCGAGCUGAUCGCACGGUCUAGUACCGGCGACGUAUCUUUCAAAUGUCUGCCUUAUCAACUGUCGACGGUAGGUUCGACGCCUACCGUGGUGGUAACGGGUAACGGGGAAUCAGGGUUCGAUUCCGGAGAGGGAGCCUGAGAAACGGCUACCACAUCCAAGGAAGGCAGCAGGCGCGCAAAUUACCCACUCCCAGCUCGGGGAGGUAGUGACGAAAAAUAACGAUACGGGACUCAUUCGAGGCCCCGUAAUCGGAAUGAGUACACUUUAAAACCUUGGUCAC